UUAAGAACUGGUGAAGACGAAGACACAGCAACUGCAACGAUAGAAAUAAAAAGCUAGAAAGUGAUGAUAUGAGUAAAGUUGGUGUCAUU
rnacentral:sRNA from 1 species